rnacentral:rRNA from 1 species
CCUACGGGGGGCAGCAGUGAGGAAUAUUGGUCAAUGGUCGGGAGACUGAACCAGCCAAGCCGCGUGAGGGAUGAAGGUACAGAGUAUCGUAAACCUCUUUUGUCAGGGAACAAAGGCGGGGACGUGUCCCCGGAUGAGUGUACCUGAAGAAAAAGCAUCGGCUAACUCCGUGCCAGCAGCCGCGGUAAUACGGAGGAUGCGAGCGUUAUCCGGAUUUAUUGGGUUUAAAGGGUGCGCAGGCGGUCUGUUAAGUCAGCGGUCAAAGCCCGGGGCUCAACCCCGGCCCGCCGUUGAAACUGGCAGUCUCGAGUUGGAGAGAAGUAUGCGGAAUGCGCGGUGUAGCGGUGAAAUGCAUAGAUAUCGCGCAGAACUCCGAUUGCGAAGGCAGCCUACUAAACUGCCACUGACAUUGAUGCUCGAAAGUGUGGGUAUCAAACAGGAUUAGAUACCCUUGUAGUC